GAUGAACGCUGGCGGCGUGCCUAAUACAUGCAAGUCGAGCGAACGGACGAGAAGCUUGCUUCUCUGAUGUUAGCGGCGGACGGGUGAGUAACACGUGGAUAACCUACCUAUAAGACUGGGAUAACUUCGGGAAACCGGAGCUAAUACCGGAUGAUAUUUUGAGCCGCAUGGUUCAAAAGUGAAAGACGGUCUUGCUGUCACUUAUAGAUGGAUCCGCGCUGCAUUAGCUAGUUGGCAAGGUAACGGCUUACCAAGGCAACGAUGCAUAGCCGACCUGAGAGGGUGAUCGGCCACACUGGAACUGAGACACGGUCCAGACUCCUACGGGAGGCAGCAGUAGGGAAUCUUCCGCAAUGGGCGAAAGCCUGACGGAGCAACGCCGCGUGAGUGAUGAAGGUCUUCGGAUCGUAAAACUCUGUUAUUAGGGAAGAACAUAUGUGUAAGUAACUGUGCACAUCUUGACGGUACCUAAUCAGAAAGCCACGGCUAACUACGUG
rnacentral:rRNA from 1 species